rnacentral:rRNA from 1 species
CCUACGGGAGGCAGCAGUGGGGAGUAUUGGACAAUGGGCGAAAGCCUGAUCCAGCCAUGCCGCGUGUGUGAAGAAGGCCUUCGGGUUGUAAAGCACUUUCAGUGGGGAAGAAAGCCUUGGGGCUAAUACCCUCGAGGAAGGACAUCACCCACAGAAGAAGCACCGGCUAACUCCGUGCCAGCAGCCGCGGUAAUACGGAGGGUGCGAGCGUUAAUCGGAAUUACUGGGCGUAAAGCGCGCGUAGGCGGUCUGAUAAGCCGGUUGUGAAAGCCCCGGGCUCAACCUGGGAACGGCAUCCGGAACUGUCAGGCUAGAGUGCAGGAGAGGAAGGUAGAAUCCCCGGUGUAGCGGUGAAAUGCGUAGAGAUCGGGAGGAAUACCAGUGGCGAAGGCGGCCUUCUGGACUGACACUGACGCUGAGGUGCGAAAGCGUGGGUAGCAAACAGGAUUAGAUACCCGAGUAGUC